ACUGAGAAUAGAGGUUAGUUGAGAUAUUUGAGCCUGGAGGGCAAAUUAACAGUGACAAAGCUAGAACUCACACACGUGAUCCAAUCAUGCCAUCUACCUUAUCCAAUAAGGACAAAGGAUUCAUGGGUGACAUGACACCAAAUUAAAGUAGCCAAUCAUAGGUCGAUCAGUAUGAUAUAAGGAUAGGCGCUCCUUGGUGGUGAUUGUAUUGUACACGGAGCUGUUUUAGAGGGGCAUUGAUUAGAAGAUUUCAACGAGCAACCUACUAACUAUACUCGCUGCUGUAUCUUUCCACAAGGAUGAAAUCCAUUUUCAUCUUGGUCUCACUGGUGGCCAUUGGUAUGGUGAACGCAAAACCCCAACAUCAUUGGUGCCCCAUGUAGAAAAUGUUACAUCCCAGACGGCAAAGGCAACUGUGUCUAUGAUAAAUUUGGUUGUGGAGGCGCCCGCAAGAGAGAGCCAUUUAGCUUCGCUGAUAUGGUCCCAUGCUUAAAAUGUUUCAUCAGAAACGACCAUGGCAUCUGUACCUAUGAUGAAGUCUAUUGUGCAGAUUUCGAAGAGUAAUCAUAUAAUCGUUGCAUUUAAAACGUAAGACUGAAUUGUAACCUUGUAAAAUGUUGAAUGCAGAUCACCUGCAUUUAGCUAUUGUUUCUUCCAAAUAAAUUGCUUCUAAAAACCUUAA